AGUUUGAUCAUGGCUCAGAUUGAACGCUGGCGGCAUGCCUUACACAUGCAAGUCGAACGGCAGCGGGCCUUCGGGUGCCGGCGAGUGGCGAACGGGUGAGUAAUGCAUCGGAACGUGCCAUUGAGUGGGGGAUAACGUAGCGAAAGUUACGCUAAUACCGCAUAUUCUGUGAGCGGGGAAGCAGGGGACCGCAAGGCCUUGCGCUCUUUGAGCGGCCGAUGUCAGAUUAGCUAGUUGGUGAGGUAAAGGCUUACCAAGGCGACGAUCUGUAGCGGGUCUGAGAGGAUGAUCCGCCACACUGGAACUGAGACACGGUCCAGACUCCUACGGGAGGCAGCAGUGGGGAAUUUUGGACAAUGGGCGCAAGCCUGAUCCAGCCAUGCCGCGUGAGUGAAGAAGGCCUUCGGGUUGUAAAGCUCUUUCGGCCGGGAAGAAAUCGCAUGGGUUAAUACCCUGUGUGGAUGACGGUACCGGAAUAAGAAGCACCGGCUAACUACGUG
rnacentral:rRNA from 1 species